rnacentral:rRNA from 1 species
GGAUGAGCCUGCGGCCUAUCAGGUUGUUGGUGUGGUAAAAGCGCACCAAGCCUAUGACGGGUACCUGGUCUGAGAGGAUGUACGGGCAGAGGGGCACUGAGACACGGGCCCCACUCCUACGGGAGGCAGCAAUUAGGAAUAGUUGACAAUGGGCGAAAGCCUGAUCACGCGACGCCGCGUGAAGGAUGACAGCCUUCGGGUUGUAAACUUCUGAAAAUAGCACCGGCUAACUACGUGCCAGCAGCAGCGGUCAUACGUAGGGUGCGAGCAUUAUCCGGAUUUACUGGGCGUAAAGAGUUCUGUAGGCGGUCUCGUCAGUCAGAGGUUAAAUCCCACGGCCUAACCGUGGAACUGCUUUUGAUACUGCGAGACUAGAGGAAGCUAGGGGGUAACGGAACCUAUGGUGGAGCAGUGAAAUGCGUUGAUAUCAUAGGGAACACCAAGGGGGUAGCCAGUUACCUGGGGCUUUUCUGACGCUGAGAGACGAAAGCUAGGGGAGCGAAACGGAUUAGAUACCCGUGUAGUCCUAGCUGUAAACGAUGCCUGCUAGAUGCCUGAUUUUUUUGGGUGUCGAAGCUAACGCGUUAAGCAGGCCGCCUGGGGAGUACGGCCGCAAGGCUAAAACUCAAAGGAAUUGGCGGGGACCCGCACAAGCGGUGGAGCAUGCUCUUUAAUUCGCUGAUAACCGAAGGACCUUACCCAGAUUUGACAUGUGGCUGCAAAUCCUCAGAAAUGAGGACCUCUUUCGAAGGUGUCACACAGGUGUUGCAUGGCUGUCGAAAGCUCGUACCGUGAGGCGUACCCUUAAGUGGGUUAACGAGCGCAACCCUUACUGUUAGUUGUAUCACUCUAACGGAACUGCCCGCGCAAGCGGGAGGAAGGUGGGGAUGACGUCAAGUCGGUAUUGCCUUUAUGUCUGGGGCCAGAAGCAUGCUACAAUGGCGCGUACAACGAGUCGCAACACGGCGACGUGAAGCUAAUCUCUAAAAACGCGUCUCAGUUCGGAUUGCAGGCUGCAACUCGCCUGCAUGAAGCCGGAAUCGCUAGUAAUCGCAGGUCAGCUAUACUGCGGUGAAUACGUUCUCGGGUCUUGCACACACCGCCCGUCGUCAGCAAAGCUAGGGCCGCCCGAAGUCCCAUUUACGUGGGCCCAAGGCAGAACUAGUGAUGAGGAUGAAGGCGUAACAAGGUAGCCGUAGGGGAAUCUGCGGCUG